ACAUUUAUAGAGUAAAUUUAUUAGAAUUAUUACAGAGCUUUGAAGGCAACCACAAUCAAUUCAGGAAACAGAUUUAUUUACUCAUGUUCAUGGGAGGAAAAUCUACAUAAAAACAUUCAUGAAAGCAUAUCAGCUAUGUCAUACUUGGAUUAUUAUCCUAAAUCCCAUUUAUUAGAACUCAUUGUCAAACAAUGGGAAACCAUGAAAUGUAAUUUGAAUACAAAUAUUGGUCCCUGUGGGGUUUCAACACUCAUAAAAAUAUAGGAAAACCGAGCUUUAUUUAAGAUUGGAGCUGCUAAUGGGGAAAGUUGUUUUUUGAAGCUGGUCUUACCCUUUCAUAUAAAGCCCUGAAGAUUUUAGUGUAAACUCUUUGACAGCUUCAGCAUUUCAUUUAAGCCUGAUGAUGAUCAGCAAGAAAGUGACAUCCAUAACUGUUCACAUUUUCUAUAUGGAGAAAGGUUAAAACUACUUUGUUGACUUUUUUACCCAAACACAGGCACCAGUUGGACUUCCUAGUCUAUAUACAAAUAGGAAUAAUAAGAAUUCUGAAAGUUGGGUUCUUAUUUCUUGGUUAGGCAAGUAUAGUUAUUUAUUCCUUCUAUGAUUUAAAUUUUUGUCAUGUCAUGUAAAUAAGAAGG
rnacentral:lncRNA from 1 species